GAUGAACGCUAGCGGCAGGCCUAACACAUGCAAGUCGAGGGGUAGAACACUUCGGUGUUUGAGACCGGCGCACGGGUGCGUAACGCGUAUGCAAUCUACCUUGUACAGGGGAAUAGCCCAGAGAAAUUUGGAUUAAUGCCCCAUAGUAUAUAACCUUCGCAUGUUGGUUAUAUUAAAGUUCCAACGGUACAAGAUGAGCAUGCGUCCCAUUAGUUAGUUGGUAAGGUAACGGCUUACCAAGACGAUGAUGGGUAGGGGUCCUGAGAGGGAGAUCCCCCACACUGGUACUGAGACACGGACCAGACUCCUACGGGAGGCAGCAGUGAGGAAUAUUGGUCAAUGGGCGCAAGCCUGAACCAGCCAUGCCGCGUGCAGGAAGACGGUCCUAUGGAUUGUAAACUGCUUUUAUACAGGAAGAAACAACUCUACGUGUAGAGUCUUGACGGUACUGUAGGAAUAAGGAUCGGCUAACUCCGUGCCAGCCGCCGCGGUAAAAC
rnacentral:rRNA from 1 species